AGCCUGUGAUGAGGAUUAAGAUUUUCUGACACCUCGAAUGAGUGCGGCUAAUGCAGUACUUGAUUACAUUUAAAUUCUGAGGCUC